AGUUUGAUUCGGCUCAGAUUGAACGCUGGCGGGAUGUUUACACAUGCAAGUCGAAACGGCAGUACGGACUUCGGUCUGCGUGGCGAGUGGCGAACGGUGAGUAAUGCAUCGGAACGUGCCUAUAGUAGCGGGGAUAACUACGCGAAAGCGUAGCUAAUACCGCAUACGCCCUUCGGGGAAAGCGGGGGACCUUUCGGGCCUCGCACUAUUAGAGCGGCCGAUAUCGGAUUAGCUAGUUGGUGGGGUACGUUCACUGGUUGGCGACGAUCCGUAGCUGGUUUGAGAGGACGACCAGCCACACUGGGACUGAGACACGGCCCAGGACUCCUGGAGGCAGCAGUGGGGGGAAUUUUUGGGACAAUGGGGGAAACUCCGAUCCAGCCAUCCCGCGUGCGCGAUGAAGGCCUUCGGGUUGUAAAGCACUUUUGGCAGGAAAGAAACGGCACGGGAUAAUACCCCGUGCAACUGACGGUACCUGCAGAAUAAGCACCGGCUAACUACGUGCCAGCAGCCGCGGUAAUACGUAGGGUAAGCGUUAAUCGGAAUUACUGGGCGUAAAGGGUGCGCAGGCGGGUUCGGAAAGAAAGAUGUGAAAUCCCAGAGCUUAACUUUGGAACUGCAUUUUUAACUACCGAGCUAGAGUGUCAGAGGGAGGUGGAAUUCCGCGUGUAGCAGUGAAAUGCGUAGAUAUGCGGAGGAACACCGAUGGCGAAGGCAGCCUCCUGGGAUAACACUGACGCUCUGCACGAAAGCGUGGGGAGCAAACAGGAUUAGAUACCCUCGGUAGUCCACGCCCUCAAACGAUGUCAACUAGCUGUUGGGGCCUUCGGGCCUUGCAGCGCAGCUAACGCGGUUGACCGCCUGGGGAGUACGGUCGCAAGAUUAAAACUCAAAGGAAUUGACGGGGACUGCACAAGCGGUGGAUGAUGUGGAUUAAUUGAUGCAACGCGAAAAACCUUACCUACCCUUGACAUGUCUGGAAUCCCGAAGAGAUUUGGGAGUGCUCGCAAGAGAACCGGAACACAGGUGCUGUACAUGGCUGUCGUCAGCUCGUGUCGUGAGAUGUUGGGUUAAGUCCUGCAACGAGCGCAACCCCUUGUCAUUAGUUGCUACGAAAGGGCACUCUAAUGAGACUGCCGGUGACAAACCGGAGGAAGGGUGGGGAUGACGUCAAGUCCUCAUGGCCCCUAUGGGUAGGGCUUCAUACACGUCAUACAAUGGUCGGGACAGAGGGUCGCCAACCCGCGAGGGGGAGCCAAUCCCAGAAACCUGAUCGUAGUCCGAUCGUGUCCGCAACUCGACUGCGUGAAGUCGGAAUCGCUAGUAAUCGCGGAUCAGCAUGUCGCGGUGAAUACGUUCCCGGGUCUUGUACACACCGCCCGUCACACCAUGGGGAGUGGGUUUUACCAGAAGUAGUUAGCUUCCAACCGUAAGGAGGGCGAUUACCACGGUAGGAUUCAUGACUGGGGUGAAGUCGUAACAAGGUAA
rnacentral:rRNA from 1 species